rnacentral:lncRNA from 1 species
AUGGACAGAUGCUUAGGUUCCAGUGAUGGCUGUUUUAUGAGAGCCUUGGCUAAACGAUGCAACAAUGGGAUUGGAAGAACCAGAUGGCAAAAGAAGUAUUUCUCCUGGGAGCCCUUGAAUUUAUGCUUUUACCACUGCAGUCAACAGCUAAAAUGUUCACCUGCAGUAGAACCGACCGGUGAUAAGACGAUGAAUGAAGUCUUUCAUUGCCAGAGCUCAUAAUAUUCCACCUUACAGCAGAUUCAUAGACAUCCUGCCCAAGGCAUCAGAAUCCACAAUCUGCUGCUGCUUCUAUGGAGCCUCUGGAUCUUUGCCAAUAGCCCCUUGAGAUGGUCCCAGAUGUGACUGCUUUUUCUGUGCUACCCUGAAAAUAUCCGGUAAACACAAAGGGCUGCACUCACCACAGUUACCGCUUCGGAGGCCAGCACUUCCUCUGCUGUCAGGACUAUACAGUGAGAAAUGUUGGUCAUGAUGUACCCCAGAGUAACCACAACUCAAAUGGCAGGGUUGCAAUCAAAGGAAUAUUCCUAUAAUAGAAUAAAGCAAAUCCUUUUAUUGUACCUCUCA